GGGUUGUGAGGUUAAGCGACUAAGCGUACACGGUGGAUGCCCUGGCAGUCAGAGGCGAUGAAGGACGUGCUAAUCUGCGAUAAGCGCCGGUAAGGUGAUAUGAACCGUUAUAACCGGCGAUUUCCGAAUGGGGAAACCCAGUGUGACUCGUCACACUAUCAUUAACUGAAUCCAUAGGUUAAUGAGGCGAACCGGGGGAACUGAAACAUCUAAGUACCCCGAGGAAAAGAAAUCAACCGAGAUUCCCCCAGUAGCGGCGAGCGAACGGGGAGGAGCCCAGAGCCUGAAUCAGCAUGUGUGUUAGUGGAAGCGUCUGGAAAGGCGCGCGAUACAGGGUGACAGCCCCGUACACAAAAGCGCAUGUGCUGUGAGCUCGAUGAGUAGGGCGGGACACGUGGUAUCCUGUCUGAAUAUGGGGGGACCAUCCUCCAAGGCUAAAUACUCCUGACUGACCGAUAGUGAACCAGUACCGUGAGGGAAAGGCGAAAAGAACCCCGGCGAGGGGAGUGAAAAAGAACCUGAAACCGUGUACGUACAAGCAGUGGGAGC
rnacentral:rRNA from 21 species